rnacentral:rRNA from 1 species
UACGGAGGGUGCAAGCGUUAUCCGGAUUUACUGGGUUUAAAGGGUGCGUAGGUGGGCCUGUAAGUCAGUGGUGAAAUCUUCAAGCUUAACUUGGAAACUGCCAUUGAUACUAUAGGCCUUGAAUUAUCUGGAGGUAAGCGGAAUAUGUCAUGUAGCGGUGAAAUGCUAGAGAUGACAUAGAACACCCAUUGCGAAGGCAGCUUACUACGGAUUGAUUGACACUGAGGCACGAAAGCGUGGGGAUCAAACAGG